rnacentral:rRNA from 1 species
GAUGAACGCUAGCGAUAGGCUUAACACAUGCAAGUCGAGGGGCAGCAUGGUCUUAGCUUGCUAAGACUGAUGGCGACCGGCGCACGGGUGCGUAACGCGUAUGCAACUUGCCUCACAGAGGGGGAUAACCCGUCGAAAGACGGACUAAUACCGCGUACACUCCAGCUUGGGCAUCCAGGUUAGAGGAAAUGAAAUUCGCUGUGAGAUAGGCAUGCGUCCCAUUAGCUAGUUGGUGAGGUAACGGCUCACCAAGGCGACGAUGGGUAGGGGAACUGAGAGGUUGAACCCCCACACUGGUACUGAGACACGGACCAGACUCCUACGGGAGGCAGCAGUGAGGAAUAUUGGUCAAUGGGCGAGAGCCUGAACCAGCCAAGUCGCGUGAAGGAUGACUGUCUUAUGGAUUGUAAACUUCUUUUAUACGGGAAUAACAAGAGUCACGUGUGGCUCCCUGCAUGUACCGUAUGAAUAAGCAUCG